rnacentral:rRNA from 1 species
AUUGAACGCUGGCGGCAGGCCUAACACAUGCAAGUCGAACGGUAGCACAAAGGAGCUUGCUCCUUGGGCGACGAGUGGCGGACGGGUGAGUAAUGUCUGGGAAACUGCCUGAUGGAGGGGGAUAACUACUGGAAACGGUAGCUAAUACCGCAUAACGUCGCAAGACCAAAGAGGGGGACCUUCGGGCCUCUUGCCAUCAGAUGUGCCCAGAUGGGAUUAGCUAGUAGGUGGGGUAAUGGCUCACCUAGGCGACGAUCCCUAGCUGGUCUGAGAGGAUGACCAGCCACACUGGAACUGAGACACGGUCCAGACUCCUACGGGAGGCAGCAGUGGGGAAUAUUGCACAAUGGGCGCAAGCCUGAUGCAGCCAUGCCGCGUGUAUGAAGAAGGCCUUCGGGUUGUAAAGUACUUUCAGCGGGGAGGAAGGUGAUACGGUUAAUAACCGUGUCAAUUGACGUUACCCGCAGAAGAAGCACCGGCUAACUCCGUGCCAGCCGCCGCCGUAA